GAUGAAGAACGUAGCGAAAUGCGAUAAGUAAUGUGAAUUGCAGAAUUCAGUGAAUCAUCGAAUCUUUGAACGCACAUUGCGCCCGCCAGUAUUCUGGCGGGCAUGCCUGUUCGAGCGUCAUUUCAACCAUCAAGCCCCCGGGCUUGUGUUGGGGACCUGCGGCUGCCGCAGGCCCUGAAAAGCAGUGGCGGGCUCGCUGUCACACCGAGCGUAGUAGCACAUCUCGCUCAGGGCGUGCGGCGGGUUCUUGCCGUAAAACAACCCCCCCUUUUCACCAAGGUUGACCUCGGAUCAGGUAGGAAUACCCGCUGAACUUAAGCAUAUCAAUAAGCGGAGGA
rnacentral:misc_RNA from 1 species